CCUACGGGUGGCAGCAGUAGGGAAUCUUCCACAAUGGGCGAAAGCCUGAUGGAGCAACGCCGCGUGGGUGAAGAAGGUCUUCGGAUCGUAAAACCCUGUUGUUAGAGAAGAAAGUUCGUGAGAGUAACUGUUCACGUUUCGACGGUAUCUAACCAGAAAGCCACGGCUAACUACGUGCCAGCAGCCGCGGUAAUACGUCGGUGGCCAACGUUAUCCGGAUUUAUUGGGCGUAAGGGGAACGUAGGCGGUUUGUUAAGUCUGAUGUGAAAGCCUUGGGCUUAACCGGAGUAGUGCAUUGGAAACUGGGAGACUUGAGUGCAGAAGAGGGGAGUGGAAUUCCAGGUGUAGCGGUGAAAUGCGUAGAUAUAUGGAAGAACACCAGUGGCGAAAGCGGCUCUCUGGUCUGUAACUGACGCUGAGGUUCGAAAGCGUGGGUAGCAAACAGGAUUAGAUACCCUGGUAGUC
rnacentral:rRNA from 1 species